AGUGAACGCUGGCGGCGUGCCUAACACAUGCAAGUCGAACGAUGAUUGAGAGCUUGCUCUCAUGAUUAGUGGCGCACGGGUGAGUAUACCAUAGAUAAUGUACCUCUUAGUUCGGGAUAGCCACUGGAAACGGUGAUUAAUACCGGAUACUCCUUCUUGUCUCAAGGCAAGUCGGGAAAGUUUUUUCGCUAAGAGAUCAGUCUAUGUCCUAUCAGCUAGUUGGUGAGGUAAUGGCUCACCAAGGCGACGAUCCUUAGCUGGUCUGAGAGGACGACCAGCCACACUGGGACUGAGACACGGCCCAGACUCCUACGGGAGGCAGCAGUGGGGAAUAUUGGACAAUGGGCGUAAGCCUGAUCCAGCCAUGCCGCGUGAGUGAUGAAGGCCUUAGGGUUGUAAUGCUCUUUUAGCGGGGAAGAUAAUGACGGUACCCGCAGAAUAAGCCCCGGCUAACUUCGUGCCAGCCGCCGCCGUAACAC
rnacentral:rRNA from 1 species